GGACAAAAAUAAAUUAAUAAAAAUAUUUAUGCUUCCCCAUUUUAAUUUCCAAAGAAAAUAUACUGCAUGCGGCAGCUCAAAAGCGCUCAAUACAAAAACUGGAAAUUUCAUGACUAGCUCCGACUAGUCUCCAUAACUCAAAGAAAUACAGCCUCUCAGGCUAAACUAUAUAUAAACAUAUAUAAGUGUAUGUAUUUACACUCGUCAAACUCCUUGUAUGAAUUCUAAGAACAAAUUAGAAAAAUAGAAAUUCAUACAAGGCUACUACGCUUGCGUCUAACGCUCACGUCACACCAUAAUGGAAUUGUACCUCAGUAUGGCGGAAAAAACACGAGUGUAUAUACGUGUGGACUCCCUAUAUGAAAACCUAAAUAAACCAAAUAAGAAAAUAGUUUUCAUAUAAGGCUACUACGCUUGUGUCUAACACUCACGUCACGCCAUAAUGACAUUUUACCUCAUUAUGACGGAUCAAACACGUAUGGCUAGCUAGCAUUUAUAUAUACAUACUAUACUCACAUAAAAAUCCAACAAAUAUAUCCACCGAAAAUCUCAUUUCCGGGAACUCUCCAAAGGAGGAAAAUUGCCAAAUAUCCGAGAAAUCAGAAAGUCUCAUCAGAAGAAAAUAAAUAAUCAACAAAUUAUUUCAUCGCAUGCUUUUCAAUUAAAACAAAGGUCCACUCACAACUCUAGGCAUAAGCCCGACGAAAUCCAAAUCGCCACUCCAAUGAGGUUUCCUCAAACCCUGUCACAAAUAUAUAAUUAAAUUCCAAACUAAAAUCCAAUAUUUAAACAAAAUAGGCAAAAUUAAAUAUGAGCCGCAACCACGUACGCUCAUCCUUGCCCAACUUCGCCUUUCCUAAAACGAAACGAUCCAACUUUAAUACCAUAAAUGGCAGCCGUAAUUACAACCUCCCCAGAACAACGACUUAAAUCCUACGGCCGGAUUCUACAUUAAUUAACCGCCAAAAAUACCAAACUUCGGAAAAUCACAAACCUAUUCAAAACUCAUCCGAAAAUUUCAUAAUUUACAUCAAUACACUCCUCUUAAUAUUCCACAUUUAAAAACAUUAAAAUCUCCCAACAGGCGGCGCCGGCAGCGGCGGCCGGAGGCCGAUUCCGGCGACCUCCAAUGCCCACCAAAUUUUAACAGCAUCUUCCUCUCAACUCCCUCUACAACAUUCCUAACUAGCACAAACACCAAUUCCAAGCCUAACUAGGUCAAUCGAGCAAAACAACGCAAAAAGCCCUAAAGCUUCCACCUCAAAUUUCUCCUUACCUAAAGCGAACCGGAGUGAGUCCUUUUAGGGCAAGGUAGCUGGGUUGGAGACCUACAAAACCGUACCAAUCUUGCCCGGAUUGGUGGCCGGAGGAGGGAGUUCCGGCGAGUGAAGCAACACGGCAGUCGCACCUUUCGGGGGAGAGCGCUCCUUCACGGCGGCGCUAGGGCGGCUAUCACCGGCCUAGAAUGGAAGCUGGGUCGGAGGGCAACUGAACGGGACCGGUGCGGCAGUCCCAGGCGGCCGGACGACGGCGGACGAGCGGCCGGAAUGUUGGGCAGCGGGUGGACUCAGGGGAGAGGAAAACCGGGAAGAAAAAGAGAGAAGAGAAGAGUGGGUUUUGGGCCUCCACCCAAACCGGUCCAAGACUAUAAUAUA
rnacentral:lncRNA from 1 species